UACGGAGGGAGCUAGCGUUGUUCGGAAUUACUGGGCGUAAAGCGCACGUAGGCGGCUAUUCAAGUCGGGGGUGAAAGCCCGGGGCUCAACCCCGGAACUGCCCUCGAAACUAGGUAGCUAGAAUCUUGGAGAGGUCAGUGGAAUUCCGAGUGUAGAGGUGAAAAUUCGUAGAUAUUCGGAAGAACACCAGUGGCGAAGGCGACUGACUGGACAAGUAUUGACGCUGAGGUGCGAAAGCGUGGGGAGCAAACAGGAUUGAGAAACCCAGUGGUAGUC
rnacentral:rRNA from 1 species